UUUUCGGCCCGCCAGUACCGCCGCCGCCGCUGUCUCUGCUGUUCCUGCUGUUAUCCUGCUACCGCGCUCGCUUUUUUCUUUUCGCGAGUGUUAUAUUCACUUUUAAAACUUAAAGAUCAAAAGCGAGCAGACACGAAUGAGCCCCUCUCAAGUCUGUGCAAGCAAGCAAGUGCGAGUCUCGAUUUAGGACCAGUGAUUGACAGCCUCCGGCUCGCCACUAAUCUCCAUUUCAUCGAGCCCAGCUACAAGGAAAUCGGAAGGAAAGGCCAGUGAGCAGGCAUUAACGGAGUCAAUGGACCAUAAAAAUGUCCCUGGUCCAUGCGGUGUAGCAAGGGCUGCCCACCACACCAGGGAGUAGCACCUUAGACCAUGCCACUCAGCUACAGAAAUGACCUUGCCAUGCCAGGGACGAACACCUUACACUACACUACUCAGCAACAGGGCCAUACGGUGCAGAGAGGACCUGCCCACACCGGGGAUUGUCACCUUACAGUAUGCCACAUAAUUACAGGGCCAUGAAAAGACAGCUGCAAGAUAACACAGGGCAAGAUGGUUUCCCAAUGCGUAAAGAUUGAACACCAACCUCCGAGAUGAAUCAGAAGAGUAGGGCCACUAGAAGCACCUGUAUGGAUAGGACACGAGUGUAGUAAUAAAACCAUAUUGCCAAUAUAAA